CGCGUCUACUUGUAUUUACGGGAACAGCGGUAAGGUUCAUGGAUAUAUAUAUACAUCACAUUGUUAGAAUAUCAAGUAAAUUACUACUGAUGACAGUACAGUUCAUUUGACACGGGACACGGGUAACAAAUCCAUAAAAUUGACCCUAUGAACACUCAUCUAGAGCUUACAGAUUAGGGUUCUAAGAUUUGGGAAUUAUGAGUAAUGGCACUCGCAGUAACAAGAGACCACUGAAUAACAAGAAAGAGAGGAUCUCAUUUCAGCUUAGGCUCAAUGCUUUCAUCAACUUUUGGCCUAGUAUUCAUAAGAACCUUCCGAAGCAUGGCAUUUUCAUUGAUCAAAGUUGAAAUUUUCUCCUCUAAUUUUGAGUUGCUGUCCAGCAAUUCUUUGGCCCUUGAUUCCAGCUCAUUGACAUAAACUUUCUUCCUUUCUCUGGCUUGUUGAGCAGAGACCCUAUUCCUUAGUAAUCUCUUGAGCCUUCUGUACUCCUUAUCAACAGGGUUUCGUCCCCUGCGGCUGCGGCGCUGAUCAUUCUUGUUAAUAGAAGUAUUAGGAAUAGCAGUAGAGGGUGGAGCUUCCACAUCUGGAACCGUGAAAAGAUCUUCGUCGCUUUCUUCUACUUUCCCCUUGUUGUGCGAAAGCGAAGAGCUAGCAGCAGUAGGCUCAAGCUGCUGUGAGGACUCGUAGAUUGAGGGCAAGGGUAAGGGAUCUGUUGGUCUUGGAAGAGACAUCUCUCACUCUCCGGUGCCUGAAUUGGCUUUGGUAAUUCUGUG
rnacentral:misc_RNA from 1 species